rnacentral:rRNA from 1 species
GACGAACGCUGGCGGCGUGCCUAAUACAUGCAAGUCGAACGCAGUGGGGACGGGUAAGUAACACGUGGGUAACCUCCCAUCAGAGGGGAUAACACUUGGCAACAGGUGCUAAACCGAUACUGAUGGAUGGACCCGCGGUGCAUUAGCUCGUUGGUGAGGUAACGGCUCACCAAGGCCACGAUGCAUAGCCGGCCGAAGAGGGUGAUCAGCAACACUGGGACUGAGAAACGGCCCAGACUCCGACGGGAGGCAGCAGUAGAGAAUCUUCGGCAAUGGACGAAAGUCUGACCGAGCAACGCCGCGUGAUUGAAGAAGGUUUUCGGAUCGUAAAACACUGUUGUUAGAGAAGCGGUAUCUAACCAGAAAGCAACGGCUAACUACGUGCCAGCCGCAGCGGUAAUAC